rnacentral:lncRNA from 1 species
CGAGCUCCACGACCGCGGAUCCAGCGAAUCAAGCCAAGCAUCCACAUCAUCUUCUGCAUCCAAGGAAUAGCACCGACUCCUUCAACGCGAUCAGCUCCCUGUUCCAACGACUGGAUCGGCUCAAUCUCUGCAUCCUAAUCCCACGUUCGACCGACUGCAUUAGAUCUCCCAUUCCGGAUAAACUACAUCAGUCCUUCCUCUUCUUCGGAUCAAGCCAGCGGAACAACUCCAUCAUAUCCAUGUUGAUUUUUCAUCCCGCAUCCAACCAGUUCCCCAACGUCUU